CAGCAGCCACGGUAAUACGAAGGGGGCUAGCGUUGUUCGGAUUUACUGGGCGUAAAGGGCGCGUAGGCGGACUGAUAAGUCAGGGGUGAAAUCCCAAGGCUCAACCUUGGAACUGCCUUUGAUACUGUUUGUCUUGAGUUCGAGAGAGGUAAGUGGAACUGCGAGUGUAGAGGUGAAAUUCGUAAAUAUUCGCGAGAACACCAGUGGCGAAGGCGGCUUACUGGCUCGAAACUGACGCUGAGGCGCGAAAGCGUGGGGAGCAAACAGGAUUAGAGACCCCUGUAGUCCCUGUCUCUUAUAC
rnacentral:rRNA from 1 species